GUAGAGCGCUCCACCUGUAAUGGAGAGGUCCCGGGUUCGAUACCCGGACCAGGCG
rnacentral:tRNA from 1 species